UACGAGGGGGGCAAGCGUUGCUCGGAAUUAUUGGGCGUAAAGGGUGCGUAGGCGGUUUGGUAAGUCUUAUGUGAAAUCUACAGGCUCAACUUGUAGUCUGCAUGAGAAACUGCCGGGCUUGAGUAUGGGAGAGGUGAGUGGAAUUCCUGGUGUAGCGGUGAAAUGUGUAGAUAUCAGGAGGAACACCUGUGGCGAAAGCGGCUCACUGGACCAUAACUGACGCUGAUGCACGAAAGCUAGGGGAGCAAACAGG
rnacentral:rRNA from 1 species